UUACUCCUGGAAAUGACAUCACAGACUCGUUGUUUUCAUAACGCAAGAUUAGACCUCUAGUUCGUACAAUUCAACAUGUGCCGUUUUCUUCAGGGUCCAAUUAUGUUGGAUGGUGGCUGAUCUAUUUUGUAUGGGUAAUAUUGGAUGAUGUUCAGGUCCUUUCUCUGCUUUCUGCAAAUGUGUCUGACCAUGUUACAGAGCAUAUGCCAUGUCAGUGAUUCCCCGACCAUUAUAUCCUCUGACCCACGGCAGUUCCUCCCUGACACGUGUGUUAAUAUUUCCGUGUACGCAGGCAUGUUCCAGAAUCAAACAUUGAAUGAGAUUUUUGGAUAUCAAUUCAAAUGGAUGCACUCAAAUAUACUAACGUCAAAACACUUAGACCUACAGUCAAUACACACACACACACACACUCCCACACACGCUCUAGUGAGGGAUGUGGAACUGACCAAUGCAGGUCCUCGCUGGAACGGACGACUGGCUGAUCCAGAAAGAGACCCAGGAGAGAACUACCAGCAGGAUGGAGGGAACCGCCACGUGUGACGGUGCGUUCUGGGAGUCCAGAGUGUCCUACCUGUCUCAUAGACGGCCUCAGACACUGACGUGUAGUAGCUCUCCACGCUGUAUUGAGCCAGUCGCAGAAUGUCGAGACCCUUCACUGAAUCAUUCCCUCUGGUCCAGUAGAACACCACAUCCUGCAGGAUGACAUGAUGGGGAUGAAUUUCCACACUUGAUGGAGCUCACAGGUGUCUCACCCCUGCGUGAAGGUCAGGCAGAGGGUCAGCAGCGCGUGCAGACGGACAGACAUUGUGGAAUCGGCCAGGCGGAGGUCAGCAGCUGUGCGGCAAGCACACGAUAAAGGGUUUCUGUCUUUCUCCUACCUGUUCCCGUCUCCGGGGUUCUUCUCUCCGCCUCGGGUCACCGCUCCUUUGUUUCCUCCUCCACUCCCGCCUUCCGCCGCCCCAAAUGAUGCUUUCUCUCCUGCCUGGAUUAUUAGCGAUUAAAUCCUGUUCCUUCAAUCUGAAAGAUCAACCCCGGUUUCCUCAGUCAAUGGUCCUGGUGUCUGUGUGUCUCUGUGUGUCGGGUAGUGCUGGUUGUUUUGUUGUUUGUGCGUCUCCCUUCUGUCUCUCCGCAACAUCUGGAGCCAUCCCCCCCCAUAUGCGCCUCUGUUCACCCUCCCUCCCUCUCCCUCUCCCCCCUCUCUAUGCAACUCACCCUCUCAUUUAUGCAGCAUCUCUCUUUUUUUAGUUCCCUCUGACCUCCGUCCACAAAUACCCACGUGGCUCCAGUAUGCCAGUGAUCACCGAUGUGAGAUAAUGAUCUUCAGGAAAGGCAAACUGACACUGCGACUCAAGGUAAAGUCAGGUAUGUCUGGGUAGUUCAGCAAGUCACUCACUCUUUGAUCCAAGAUGUAGCUUGUAGGGCUGAUGAAAUUUGCAUGAUUGCGUGAGAUAACACACUAUUACCCAUCUGCCUCCAAUCCUGUCUUCAUCAAACGAGCAUUUGUCCCUUUAUCCUGAAGGAGAAACUGCACAUUUUGUAGUUAGGCAAAUUUUGUGUUGAUACAAUAAUAUUUUACACCUUAAUACGGGAAAUCAUACUGCACGUUCAGCCAGUAAAGAGAAAUUACAUUAUUCUGCCCUCAGGUCACAUCAGGCUCUUCUAAGAACUGUCUGCAGCCGAGAUGACUCCUUUCCAUGAACCGGAUUUGGAGAGACCUGCCUGAGAACAGUCCUCCUAUGAUACUACAUAUUUACCUUUCCCUGCCUGUGGGACUUCUUUAUUCCGCUAACCUGUAUCACACAAGCCAACCACUUGGGUACCAGAGCGCUCCAACGCCAAUUAGGCCACCGUCUUCCAUCUUUCGUAUACAAUCCAUGAAACUCAUCUACCAUAAUGGAACGUAACUGUUUGCGGGGGAGAUGCUUUUAGAUGCGUGUGUGAAUGUUAAGACCAGGAAACUGCAAAUUACCACAGGUAGAGGCCUAUAUGGUGUGAGGAUGAACUCCAAGGAAUGGAGCGCCGCGGUAGUAGAGCUUCCUCUCCCACCCAUUGGUGCUUGGGGGAAAAUUGCAAAAUGCAAUAGAUAAAACAAACCUGUUAAUGACACUGUUUCACUUUUUUACAGUGUUUGUUGUAUGGAUAAAACAAACAACAUGUAGCAUAUUUACCUCUCCUUAGAGCUUCCAUCUUUAGCUGUCCCUCCUCUUCCAGUCGCUAUUUAUCAGGUAACUUAACAGUGAAUCCAUCAACUGGCCUUUUGGAUCCCACACGGGAUCUCACCCGGGCUCACGGGAUCUAAUCAGCCAUAACGACGGGGGAAAAGGACCCGGUCAGGGCUUUAAACACCCCAGUUUGUGCUUUAAACGUCUGUUGUGGCGAGUGUGGUUGUUUCUGCUCAUCAUACACCGCGUACUAAUGUCAAUUCCAUCAUGACUCAUUUACUCUCACACCAAUUCCCUCCUCGCUUAGACCUGCGUUAAUGUAUCCACGGUGACGGAUCGAACAUGGAACGUCGUGGCUGAGCUUAGUUCGCCGCGCCACUCCUUACCGUUAGCGAAUCAGUCUACUGACGCAUUGGUCUCUCCUUCCAGAAUAAGCCCUUCCCCCCCGCGGCGAGUCCUGUCCCUUUCGCCUUCACUUGAAAGUCAGAUGAGUGGAUUGUCAAGAGUGGUUACCAUCCGGACCCUGGGUGACAACUAAUUUUAUUCCAGGGGAGGCAAAGGUCACUGGACGUCAAUGAAAAGCGAUUCAACCUGCAAAAUGAAAAAAAAAAUGCCUCCUGAUGAGAAAACGUGUUUCCAAAAAGACGCUGAGCCCAACGCACCUUGGAGAGUCCCUCGGAAGCUCCGGUCGACGCUGCAAGCACCAACCUACGUCAAUAAUGAUGACCCAGCAUUAAGAACUGGACCAGAGGGUAAAUGACAUGGAUGGUAUUUGAAUAAGUGAGUCAAAGCCUUUUGUAAAUCUGUAGAUAACUGAAAGCUGUGAUUGGCUUAAAUAGCCUAUGAAUAUGUCCUAGGAGGAUGCUUUCACUCAGCCGUUUCUUCAGGAAAAACACAAUCAUCGCUGUUGUCCUGAAAACCAAAACACAUCACAGCGAGGUUUGUGUUACUGCGCCCAAUAACUACUUUCUUCCAGGUUUGAAACAAAUCAGUGACAAAGAUAGCACGAGCAUUGAAAGUUCUUAUGCUGACGCCUGCCUGAGGCUAAACUGCACUCGCAGUCCAGGUCUGAACGUCAAGGGGCCACGUUUGGACACCGGAGACUGAGCCGUUGAUGUUUCUCUUUCUUUUGGUUCUCUGUUGAGCGAUCUAUCUUCAGAAUGUACACAGUGUGGAUCCAGCUUGCGCUGUCUGGUCUGGUUUUAGAGCUGGCUAAUAGAAACAAAUGUGAGUGCAUUGGUGCACGUGUUGCAUGCUGAACAGACACUGUCCUCUCCCUGCAUGCUAAAACGCAUCCUCGUAGAAGUCUGUGUGGUUCCAAUGGCCUGCCAAGGAAUCUCUAUGCAUUGGGCCUCGCAUCAGUUCCCAGAGAGGGAUUCUGAUUAUUUUUCCAUCUAGAAGGGUGUUAAAUCUAGACUCCUGAGAAGAAUAAAAAUGAGACUGACGCUACAUUUCCUCUUUGCUUCACUGUCAGGUUUUAGUUGGGUCGCUACAACCUAUUGUCAGAGGUAACAACUGAAGUGCCGUAAUGAAAGAAAGGCUCUUAUUUAAAAUGCCAUUCUUAUCGCGUUCCUUCACGCUUAAUCUCUACGAUACCAUGCGCCGAAUCUCUGGACUUCAUUAUUAAUUGCGCCGAGCUCUAAAGACAAACCCGACCAUGUCCAGUCGAUGCCCCCCAAAUCAGGUUAACUGUGACAAAGUUCAAUUCUCAGUGUGCCGUCAGUCAAUACAAAGCAUCCUCCUUUUCCCUCCCUCAUCCCAAAGCCCUGUUUAUAUCGCCGCGUUUACUUCAUGUUGACAUGGACAAUAUUUUAGGGGGCAAUAGCAAUGAUUCAUAUAUACACACGGUCUCCCUGCGCUCUGUGUUUGUCUUUAAACUUCUCUUUUCACCACAUCGUGUAUAUAAGCCAUGUUUAGGAAGGGGGAUAUCACUCGCUGCCUCGUUCCCCUGCAGCCCGGGACACCUAGAUGUUUCACACAGAAGGAUCUGCUGCUGUUUGACACAUCUCCCUGGAGAACUUUAAUGGGAUUUUGACAAACCGGGACUGAGUCUGCUGUACGUCGGCGAUCAAGGGUCAUGUUGCCGGACAUUGUUUGUUCUUUUUCUCGGAACAAAAUGUGGGAGCUGUCAAAGGAUUUCACGCGCGCCGGCAGCACUUCGAGGCGGGCGUGUCACAAACUGUGGGCAUUCUAGCGUUUUCCAAUUGACCUCUGGGGGAGAACAAAACAAAAAGCUUGACCAAUGACGUCCGUGUAAGAGGCAAGGUGUUUCAUUCCUUUCAUCACCUGUAUGCGUGUGUCUGGAGUGUGUGGGGAUGUUUACACACAACAGCGACCUUGUAAUGCAGAUCCGUAGCACCGCAUGUCUCCAGGCCUGACGUUCUGCUCUACCGUUUACUAAACAGCCUCGAUAGGACAAGACUGUUUUAGUAAAUACAGAAGGUGUGUGUGUGUUUUGGGUUGAUCUGGCACCAGGACAGUAAGCCUUGUAUUUGGGGUUAUAGCUUGUACAAAGUCAAGUAGGGCCUCUCUUUUUCUAUUUGAGCAGAUGGACGAGCGACGAACUCUUUCGUCCACCACAGCGAGCCGCGGAGAAUCUCACCGAAUCGCAAUAAUCGGGACACUUCUGAGACACACACAAAUCUUUCCUUCAUACCGGCUCUGGUGUAGCUCAGGUCUGAGUUUACAACAUAAACACCAAACACACACACAGACGGUGUUUGUGCGGGGGGGGGGCGGGGUGUGGCGGUGUUCCGUUAGCUUGACAGGUGUGUGGAAGACUGCCACGAGCCGGGCGGCAGGUGGAGUGGAGGAUUUAUAGAUUUUAAUCACAUCACUCUGUUGAGCAAUAAUUCUCCCGCCAGAAGCCAAGACGGUCCACAGCUACAGUCACUUGUGAUUGAUGGAUGCUGUCUUUGGGUAUCCCUGAAUCAUCGAGGAUCUAGCGUGCCCUGAAAGACAGAUGUGUCUUGGACAGUGCUCCUACCCCUGACAGCUUCAUUUUGUAACCAAAUGCACUGUGAUGUGAUCUAACGGUGGAGCCCUUGAAGUGGUUCUGUCUGGAAGAAAAAGAAAAGAUUAGGAGGUGAGGAGAAAUGCCAGGAGGAAAAUGGUACAAGCAUUUGAUUCUAUAACAAGUUUCAAAGCGCUUGAAAGGGUAUUUGAGCUCUGUCCAAGUAAAGAUUACGCAAUCAGCAGAUUAGGGGAGUUCCAAAAUAUCCGAAACAUACAUUGUUUCAAUAAAAAGCCAAUUUGAUUUUGGUUUCAGGGAGCCGGGCAGGUAAACCCGUCAGGUUCUACCGUUUCUUAUCUGGAGAGCUCCAUCUGCAACGCUGCAUUUUCCCCCCUGACCCUGUCAGCCCCUUGACGACGUGAUUAACGGCUGCAAAUUUGCAUCAAUUUGAAACUGUCUGAAAUACGAAGGCAGAAGGGGGCCGAGCUGUUAAUGAAGUCACACAGAGGGCAACUUUGCAACGUUCCGGGGUUGGCAGCUUAAAAAAAAAAAAAAAGGAACGAGGCGCGAGGCGCGAGACCACCUCUGCUCUCUACCUGGAGAUGUGAAGACAAAGCCCCCCCCAAAAAAACAAGGGCCGGGCAUUGUGGGGAGGAGGUGCGACAUGUCGGGACAGUGAUAUUCUGAUAUUUACUUUGCUUCUUCGCGUUUGUCUCCCUCCUCUCUGCUUAUCUCCCGCUCCUUUCGCUGUGCCUUUCAAAUAAAGCCCAUGAUCCGCUUUGUAGGCUUGCUGUCUCAGGAAAAAUAUCAUCUAUUUGCAUAUGAUUUUGGCAUGGCCGGUAUUCAAUGUAUCACUCCUGGGGUUUAUAAGGCACAGGCAUCUCACACAUUGAAAUCACGUGGCUUUAUGACCCAUCUAAACGCAACCUGAUUGUUAACACUUUUCUUUAAAUCAGUUAUGCAAAUUGUGAGAGGAUGACCCUCUAACCUUCAACCACUGACUGUUUCCCAAUUGUGCCAAGAUGUUCAAUUCCACUUGGUUUCUUUCUGUGUUUAGUGUAAAAUACUGUCAUGCUGCCUGUGUUUCAGGGUAAAUACAGGCCUCAGGCUGAUCCCGAUCAAAGGAUUUGUAUGUAUUUACAUAAAUAAAAUGCUAUGUGCAAGAUAACUAAUGAAAAAAUAAAUUAUUAUAAAACAAAUAGUUAUUACCAAUUGAAAUGGUUUAAAGUGAAAUAUAAAAUUGGACUAUGUGUUCCAGAUGCUGAAAAAGGAAAGUGAAUAAUUUUAUAUUGCUGCAUCGAUUAUGAUUGCUGAUUAUGAUUGCUGUAUCCAGACACAACAGAGAGCAAAAUAGUGACUUGUUACUUGUUAUUAACACGCCUGUUCCAUCUGAAUUUACACACAUACAUUGAAUGUGUUGGUAUUAUUGCCUAUUUAUUUUCCUAACUUUUUAAAUAUCUAAUAUAUGACUGUUUUUAUUCUAUUUGUGUUCUUUUCUUUAUGAAUCGCAGUCAGAGAAGAACGCCGCCUAUAGAUUUCUUUGUACAGCACAGACCUGUUUAUUUGUGCUUGUGGCAAUAAAGUUUUGAUGUUUGACUUAAAGUAAACGUAUUGCUUCUGCGGACUGUUCUUGGUUUGCUUCCAUGCUCUUAACUAUCUGUAAUGUUGAAAAACUUUAAAUAAAACCGGUCAGUUUCCUUUUA